CACAUGAGAGUCUUGGUAGACUGUGAGCUUSAGUUGGCGCCUCUGGCUGCCGCUGCACAGUCCGUCCCAAUAUCUCAAACUAAAAAAGUACAACAAUCAGAUUACAUCACAAUAAACAAGUCAAAUGUUUUUGCAUGAUGGCCGGUGGCUCAAAUGAGCUCAUUCGCCCUUUGACAGGUUUUGUUUUUAGUCCUGCUGGGUGUCAUGUCACCCUCCUCACCAGUAUAGACUGGUGGGGGUGCCGGUUUAGAUGCCGACGACCCGUCCAUGAGGCAGGUUGUACUGGGUUACAAUGUUACCAGUAGCAGACUACAUGUCUGACCUGAC